rnacentral:rRNA from 1 species
GACGUAGGGUGCGAGCGUUAAUCGGAAUUACUGGGCGUAAAGCGAGCGCAGGCGGUUUUGUAAGCCAGAUGUGAAAUCCCCGGGCUUAGCCUGGGAAUGGCAUUUGGGACUGCAAGGCUGGAGUAAGGCAGAGGGGACUGGAAUUCCUGGUGUAGCAGUGAAAUGCGUAGAUAUCAGGAGGAAUACCGAUGGCGAAGGCAGGUCCCUGGGCUAAUACUGACGCUCAUGCACGAAAGCGUGGGGAGCAAACAGG